UGCUACGGUGAAUACGUUCCCGGGUCUUGUACACACCGCCCGUCACACCACGAGAGUUUGUAACACCCGAAGCCGGUGGAGUAACCUUUUAGGAGCUAGCCGUCGAAGGUGGGACAAAUGAUUGGGGUGAAGUCGUAACAAGGUAGCCGUAUCGGAAGGUGCGGCUGGAUCACCUCCUUUCUAAGGA
rnacentral:rRNA from 1 species